rnacentral:rRNA from 1 species
AACGAGACCUUCGGGUCUAGUGGCGGACGGGUGAGUAACGCGUGGGAAUUUGCCUUUCGGUGCGGGACAACCAAGGCAAACUUUGGCUAAUACCGCAUACGCCCUACGGGGGAAAGAUUUAUCGCCGAAAGAUCGGCCCGCGUCUGAUUAGCUAGUUGGUGAGGUAAUGGCUCACCAAGGCGACGAUCAGUAGCUGGUCUGAGAGGAUGAUCAGCCACAUUGGGACUGAGACACGGCCCAAACUCC